rnacentral:rRNA from 1 species
CGGCGGACGGGUGAGUAACGCGUGGGUAACCUGCCUCAUACAGGGGGAUAACAGUUAGAAAUGAUUGCUAAUACCGCAUAAGACCACAGCACCGCAUGGUGCGGGGGUAAAAACUCCGGUGGUAUGAGAUGGACCCGCGUCUGAUUAGCUAGUUGGUAAGGUAACGGCUUACCAAGGCGACGAUCAGUAGCCGACCUGAGGGGGUGACCGGCCACAUUGGGACUGAGACACGGCCCAA